AUACGGAGGAUGCGAGCGUUAUCCGGAUUUAUUGGGUUUAAAGGGAGCGUAGGCGGGAGCUUAAGUCAGCGGUUAAAUGGUGCGGCUCAACCGUGCCCUGCCGUUGAAACUGGGUUUCUUGAGAGUGCAAGAGGCGGAUGGGAUUCCUGGUGUAGGGGUGAAAUGCUUAGAUAUCAUGAAGAACUCCGAUUGCGAAGGCAGUCCGCUGGGGCACGUCUGACGCUGAUGCUCGAAGGUGCGGGAAUCUAACAGGAUUAGAUACCCUGGUAGUCCGCACGGUAAACGAUGAUUACCCGCUGUCGGCGGCAGACAGUCGGCGGCCAAGCGAAAGCGAUAAGUAAUCCACCUGGGGAGUACGCCGGCAACGGUGAAACUCAAAUGAAUUGACGGGG
rnacentral:rRNA from 1 species